CAGCCCCAGGGUUUAAAAUUGCAGCCACGUUGUAUGCUUGCAUACAUUAGCGGAUGAAUUUGAAACCCGCCAAACAUGAGGAAGUAGCGAUUUUCGAAGAAAAUCAGCGGAUUCCGAAUGUCUGUAGAAGUGUGGAAUUGCGAAGCAAUGGAGCACUUCGUCAGGGGCGU
rfam:Blautia sp. CAG:237 genomic scaffold, scf56